UACGAAGGGGGGCUAGCGUUGCUCGGAAUCACUGGGCGUAAAGCGCACGUAGGCGGCUUCUUAAGUCAGGGGUGAAAUCCUGGAGCUCAACUCCAGAACUGCCUUUGAUACUGGGGAGCUCGAGUCCGGGAGAGGUGAGUGGAACUGCGAGUGUAGAGGUGAAAUUCGUAGAUAUUCGCAAGAACACCAGUGGCGAAGGCGGCUCACUGGCCCGAUACUGACGCUGAGGCACGAAAGCGUGGGGAGCAGACAGG
rnacentral:rRNA from 1 species